CAGAUCCUCUUCCGCCAGAGCCUGUUGAUGGUAAUUUUACCGAGUGGAGCAACUGGACAUCUUGUUCUCUGUCAUGUGGUAAUGGCACACGAUAUCGAAGUCGUUCUUGCACCAAGCCAGCACCUGCUCACGGUGGAAAGAACUGUACUGGACCUUACAACGAGACACAGAACUGCCAUUGCCUUAGAGGACUUGAGAAUUCAGCUAUUC